GAUGACGACGCCGCGUGAGGGAUGAAGGCCUUCGGGUUGUAAACCUCUUUCAGCAGGGAAGAAGCGAAAGUGACGGUACCUGCAGAAGAAGCGCCGGCUAACUACGUGCCAGCAGCCGCGGUAAUACGUAGGGCGCAAGCGUUGUCCGGAAUUAUUGGGCGUAAAGAGCUCGUAGGCGGUUUGUCGCGUCUGCUGUGAAAACCUGAGGCUCAACCUCGGGCUUGCAGUGGGUACGGGCAGACUAGAGUGCGGUAGGGGUGACUGGAAUUCCUGGUGUAGCGGUGGAAUGCGCAGAUAUCAGGAGGAACACCGAUGGCGAAGGCAGGUCACUGGGCCGCAACUGACGCUGAGGAGCGAAAGCAUGGGGAGCGAACAGGAUUAGAUACCCUGGUAGUCCAUGCCGUAAACGUUGGGCACUAGGUGUGGGGCUCAUUCCACGAGUUCCGUGCCGCAGCAAACGCAUUAAGUGCCCCGCCUGGGGAGUACGGCCGCAAGGCUAAAACUCAAG
rnacentral:rRNA from 1 species